rnacentral:lncRNA from 10 species
AUCACAUUAACAGAUCUAUUUGAUUGCUCACUUGUAUUGGAUCAAGGGUUAUGAGACAGCUAUGGUUUGAUUUUAAAAAAGCAUUAUGAAGAGAUCCAUUUGCUUAAUCAUCUAUGUGUCUAUUGCACAUCUAGUAAGUGCUGGAGACUUUGUCUACAGUGCUGUAUUAGAAGACAUGAACCUUGCCUUUCUUUCAUGAUGCUUAUACUCACGUUGUGUGUGUGUGUGCCAGCAUGUGUGCUCAUGUGUGCACAUCAUAAGGGUAUCUUGGUCCAUUCAGGCUCCUGUAACAAAAUGCCUUAGGCAGGGCAAUUGAUCAACAACAGAAAUGUAUUGCUCACAGUGCUGGAGACUGGAAAGUCCAAGAUCAGGACAUCUGCAGAUUUGGUGUCUGGUGAGGACUUGCUCCCUGCUCCUCAGGUGAUGCCUUGUUGCUGCGUCCUCACAUGGUGAAAGGGGCAAGGUGGCUCCCUGGAGCCUCUUUUUAAAGGGCACUAAUCCGAUUCACGAGGGUGAAGCUCUCAUGACUUAAUCACUCCCCAAAGACCCCACUUCUUAACACUAUCACAUUGGGUAUUAAGUUCCAACAUAUGAAUUUAGGGGAAAAUAUUAACAUUCAAACCAUAGCAAGGUGUAGAAAAUAAGUUAACAGCAAAAAUGUGCAUAUGUGUAUACACAUUGUGACUAUUAACUAUGCUGGAGAACUAUUAAAACACCUGAUUUCUGUUCCUAAAUUGCCAGUUGACUUGCUGUGGACCUUGGGUAAGUCAUCCUUUUUUCUCUUGACCUGUUUUUAUUUUUCACCUAAAGAAUGAGAUUGUUUUUCUCAGGCUGCAUUAGACAUAUCUGAGUGUUUUGGAUUGAGCAUCUAUUAGGUUAAUAAUCAGAAAAAAGACAGUAAAGACUAAGAAGAUGAAGACAAAGAAGAAGAGGAGGAACUGAAGAAGGUGGAAUUCCAGCCAGGAUCUUCUGUGGUUUGUGCAUCUGAAAUUCUGCUGAUUUUCCUGCACUCAGCUGGAUUUUUGCAUAUUGUUUAUUAUUUUGAGGUCUAGGCAACGGAGAAUAUGUUCUCUUAUCUAAUGAGCCUAAUUUUUAUACACAACAAAUUGUGAUCCUCACAUUUGUGGGGGGCAACAGAGUUAAAGAGACGCAUUUCUACCUCAAUAAAUGAACGACAGUUUAGAUGCUAAGCUGAGUUUAUAUUUGUCCUGGCUUGGAGCACACUUUCCUUCUUUCUGCUGCUUCUUCAGAACUGUUUUUAUCUUGGUAUUUAAAUAUCCAAGUGUUUAAAUAUCUUAUGUUUAAAUAUCUUAUUCCUUGUGUUUAAAUAUCUUAUUCUGACU